rnacentral:rRNA from 1 species
UACGGAGGGAGCUAGCGUUGUUCGGAAUUACUGGGCGUAAAGCGCACGUAGGCGGCUUUGUAAGUUAGACGUGAAAUCCCAGGCUCAACCUGGGAACUGCGUCUGAUACUGGAUGGCUUGAAUUCGGGAGAGGGAUGCAGAAUUCCAGGUGUAGCGGUGAAAUGCGUAGAUAUCGUGGAGGAAUACCGGUGGCGAAGGCGGCAUCCUGGACCGACAUUGACGCUGAUGAGCGAAAGCUAGGGGAGCAAACGGG